CUGGGAGCCGGUCUGCAGCUCCGCUCCCCGAGGGCCCAGAAAAGCCCGCAAGACCCGAGCUCCCGGCCUGGCGAUAAGGGCCGGACGAGGGCUCCCCACCCGACCCGACCCUGGAGUCGGGAUCCUCUCCCAGGCGCCGGCCCGCACCUGCCGCCCCCAGGCCCUUUCUGUCAAGCACCAAAGCCGCGGGACUCACAGCUUCAGCCGCUCGUAAGUCGUCGCCGCCAUCCUGCACCACCACCUCUUCCUCUCCGCUCCGCCGGCCCGACCCGCGCCUCACCACCGCCUCAGCUACAGCGCUACCGGUCACCCUGGCACCCGGGCCACCGCGCCCGCCUCACCCCACCCCUUUGCCGCCCCGCGGGAAAGAACGCAAGCGAACGGGAGGCGAUGGGGGACAAACUAGUGCGUGAGUGGGAGCACGAGAGACACGCCCCCUGAUGCGAUGGAUUGGAGUGCGCCGUAGAGCGCCGUGACGUAGCGUCAGUGGAUUGGUGCAGCGUGUUCGUUGGGCAAGGCGGAGCUGGCCGCUCUGCGCUGGAGCCACGACACCCGACGCAGGGACCGAAAUGGAGAACUGGUGCCAGGAAGCCUGUUGAAACUGCGUCAGCGGUAAUCAGCUGCACAGUGAAAGCUCGGCUAGCACGGGCCAGUGGCGCAAUGGAUAACGCGUCUGACUACGGAUCAGAAGAUUCUAGGUUCCGAGAUGCAAGACCUGAGAAGGCCAAAACGUUUGCAGCAGAAAGGAGCCUUGAACCCCAGGAGUGUCUGUCCUGAACACUUACUAUGAACCAAUUACUCCAUGAUCAAUUAAUUUUUCCCAAACAACGUCCCCCCCCCCCGAAGGAAAUUAUACAAGAAUUGUAAAA